rnacentral:ncRNA from 1 species
CAACCUCAACUCAUAUGGGACUACCCCCUGAAUUUAAGCAUAUUAAUUAGGGGAGGAAAAGAAACUAACAAGGAUUUUCUUAGUAGCGGCGAGCGAAAAGAAAUCAGUUCAGCACUAAGUCACUUUGUCUUUUUGGCAAAUGGGAAAAGGCAGGGUCAGGGAACUCCACCUUCCAGUAUGAAAAAUUAAACGAUUUUAAUCCCUUUCUUUAAAUGAGUGCCUUUUUCCCCUG